CCUACGGGUGACAGCAGUGAGGAAUAUUGGUCAAUGGCCGGAAGGCUGAACCAGCCAUGCCGCGUGAAGGUCAGUGCCAUAUGGGCGUUAAACUUCUUUUGUGCGGGAGCAAUAAUGGUCACGUGUGGCCAGACGAGAGUACCGUACGAAUAAGCAUCGGCUAACUCCGUGCCAGCAGCCGCGGUAAUACGGGGGAUGCAAGCGUUAUCCGGAUUUAUUGGGUUUAAAGGGUGCGUAGGCUGUGAGGUAAGUCAGCGGGGAAAUGCCCCCGCUCAACGGGGUGAAGUGCCAUUGAUACUGCCUUGCUGGAAUGCGGAUGCCGUGGGAGGAAUGUGUGGUGUAGCGGUGAAAUGCAUAGAUAUCACACAGAACACCGAUUGCGAAGGCAUCUCACGAAUCCGCGAUUGACGCUGAUGCACGAAAGCGUGGGUAUCAAACAGGAUUAGAUACCCCAGUAGUC
rnacentral:rRNA from 1 species